rnacentral:rRNA from 1 species
GGCUCAGGACUAACGCUGGCGGCGUGCCUAACACAUGCAAGUCGAACGAUCUUUGAUUUAUAGCAAUAUUAUUAAAGAGGAGUGGCGAACGGGUGAGUAACACGUAGAUAAUCUGCCUUUCAGACGGGGACAACUCAGGGAAACUUGUGCUAAUACCCGAUGAGACCACAAGAAGGGAUUUUUGUGGCCAAAGGCGGGCAGCAAUGCUCGUGCUGAAAGAUGAGUCUGCGUCCUAUCAGCUAGUUGGUGGGGUAAAUGCCUACCAAGGCUAAGACGGGUAGCCGGCCUGAGAGGGUGAACGGCCACACUGGGACUGAGACACGGCCCAGACUCCUACGGGAGGCAGCAGUGAGGAAUUUUCCGCAAUGGGCGCAAGCCUGACGGGGCGACGCCGCGUGAGGGAUGACAGCUUUCGGGUUGUAAACCUCUUUUAUUAAGGAAAAAGAUCUAUAUGCUAAUAUCAUGUAGAUUUGAUGGUACUUAUUGAAUAAGCCCCGGCUAACUACGUGCCAGCAGCAGC